UUAGUGGCGCACGGGUGCGUAACGCGUGGGAAUCUGCCCUUAGGUUCGGAAUAACAGCUGGAAACGGCUGCUAAUACCGGAUGAUGACGAAAGUCCAAAGAUUUAUCGCCUGAGGAUGAGCCCGCGUUGGAUUAGGUAGUUGGUGGGGUAAAGGCCUACCAAGCCGACGAUCCAUAGCUGGUCUGAGAGGAUGAUCAGCCACACUGGGACUGAGACACGGCCCAGACUCCUACGGGAGGCAGCAGUGGGGAAUAUUGGACAAUGGGCGAAAGCCUGAUCCAGCAAUGCCGCGUGAGUGAUGAAGGCCCUAGGGUUGUAAAGCUCUUUUACCCGGGAAGAUAAUGACUGUACCGGGAGAAUAAGCCCCGGCUAACUCCGUGCCAGCAGCCGCGGUAAUACGGAGGGGGCUAGCGUUGUUCGGAAUUACUGGGCGUAAAGCGCACGUAGGCGGCUUUGUAAGUCAGAGGUGAAAGCCUGGAGCUCAACUCCAGAACUGCCUUUGAGACUGCAUCGCUUGAAUCCAGGAGAGGUCAGUGGAAUUCCGAGUGUAGAGGUGAAAUUCGUAGAUAUUCGGAAGAACACCAGUGGCGAAGG
rnacentral:rRNA from 1 species